AUGCGCGACUUUGGGGAAGGAGGAGAGAGAGGACUCUCGCCAUAUUCGCGAUCAACAAGUGGUGCUCCGUAGCGGUCCGACAAAUCUUACCAUCCUGAAGACAUCUUUACAUCCGUAGACGUUAGAUUGAGGACGCAGCUUACCAGAAUCACGGACACCAGUUCGGCAGCAUGGUGCAACACCCUGAGGAAGCGUGUGACCGCCAUACCCUCACGUGCGCCAAGUAACACUAUCUCAAACUGUUUCCAGCCUGUCGUACAGUGGACUGCAUCUACGUCCCCGGUCACAGCUGAGACAUAAUCAGUUUUCAUUUUCAGUGCCAUCAGGCCAACACUCAUCUGCAGCGUGGAGGGCAGACCUAGUGGAGCACAAGACGAGGCUGGAGAAUGUUCCAAUCUAUACUGGUCCCGGAGCUACGAGAGGCGAAUGUUCUUCCCGUCAGGCUCCCCUUGGCCUGCCGUCAGCGGUGUGUGGCCACUGUCAGCGGUGUGUAGCCACCGUCAGCUGUGUGUGGCCACCGUCAGCUGUGUGUGGCCACCGUCAGCUGUGUGUGGCCACCGUCAGCGGUGUGUAGCCACCGUCAGCUGUGUGUGGCCACCGUCAGCUGUGUGUAGCCACCGUCAGCUGUGUGUGGCCACCGUCAGCGGUGUGUGGCCACCGUCAGCGGUGUGUGGCCAC
rnacentral:lncRNA from 1 species